rnacentral:miRNA from 1 species
AAUAUAGAACAUCCAGUUAAAAUGAGAGUUUCAGGUAAAUAACAAAUAAUUUUUUUGCCUAAGUAUGUCCUAUGCAAUAUUUGGGACAUAUUUAAGCUAAAACAUUACUCUGGUUUGUGUGAAAUUCAAAUUUAACCGGACACUUAUAUUUU